rnacentral:rRNA from 1 species
GAAGAACCUUACCACCCCUUGACAUCCUCGGAACUGCCUGGAGACAGGCAGGUGCCUUCGGGAACCGAGUGACAGGUGCUGCAUGGCUGUUGUCAGCUCGUGUCGUGAGAUGUUGGGUUAAGUCCCGUAACGAGCGCAACCCUUGUCCUUAUUUGCCAGCGGGUCAGGCCGGGAACUCUAGGGAGACUGCCGGUGACAAACCGGAGGAAGGUGGGGAUGACGUCAAGUCAUCAUGGCCCUCACGGGGUGGGCUACAAACGUGCUACAAUGGGCGGCACAGAGGGUGGGAACCAGCAAUGGCAAGCGAAUCCCAAAAAACCGCUUGUUGUCCGGAUAGGAGUCUGCAACUCGACUCCUUGAAGUCGGAAUCGCUAGUAAUCGCGAAUCAGA